CUACACUGCUCUUGUUUCUCUCUCUGCUCUUGGGUAGCCCACAGCUCCUUGAAGAGGGUUUUCAUCAAAUCUAUCCAUCUUUAGAUUCACAGUGUAAGGGGGAGCACAAAGAUUGGUUUGGCGGCACCAUAAAUGUUCCAUACCCACCAAAAGUUGGCACCGGAGAGCGGCAUUAGUUUCUUCAUCCGAAUGCUGUUAAACCUCCUACUCGUUCAUCAGGGGGCAUCGUCUAUCGUGGUGUGAAUGAUAAGGGAGGAGAGAUUCAAUGGAUUGUGGUGUGGGACCAUCGAGUCGACAUCACAGAAAAUCUAGUAACUAUAUAAUCAAACUAGUAUACACUGAAGUCCGUGCACCAGCUAGGGUUGACUGGGAUAUGAUAGAACAAAAGCUGCCUCUUAAUCAAAACUCUAGUAGCUAUGAUGGAUGAUUUGCCCAUGUAUCAAUUACUGAUGGCAAUUUCCCUGAAAUUUGAGCAGGACUUACGCCGAAGUCCAAAAGCAAGAAUUAGGUAGCUAGUUGGCACUAGUCAUAAGUAAUAAGCAUGCAUCAUGUAUUGUGUGUGGAAUAAUGUCAUGAUAUCCACAUUAUCAUGGCCUUUUGUGUUAUUUUAUGUUGAGGCUGCCUAGCUGAUGCAGUCAUAAUUAAUAUGUAUGCAUGCAUGUAUGGUGCCAUUACAGUUUAUGA